AGAAAUUUAGCCAGUUGAAUGUGAUGG
rnacentral:piRNA from 2 species